GCGGCCAUCGUAUAGUGGCUAUUAUGGUUGGCUUCCACCCAUCAGACGGGAGUUCGACUCUCCCUGGCCGCA
rnacentral:tRNA from 1 species